CAAAGGCCCGUAAAAUAAAACCAACACUCUCCAGGAAGUCUCGAGGUUGCCAUAGAGAACAAAGGCACCUGAGCCCACAACACUUACACGGGUCUUAAGGUUAUGACCAGCGCUUCAACACUCUAUACGCCUCUGGACUCCUCAGCUCAACAGCGCACUGAAGACUCUUAAAUCUCAACAAAUCAUGGGUUGCAACACAAGCCGGGGCACCACAGUGGUGGACCCUUCUGAAGAGCCAGGGGAGAGGCCGAAGACGGCCACUUCCACCGAGGCGGCGUCCACGGAGGAAACCAAUGGAACGACAAACAAAGAUAAAGACGAACAAACGGAGAUUUCCAGCUGAGUGCCAUCUUUACACCUCACCCUAAACUCUUCUCAAAAUUGGCCUGUCCGGGGUGAAGGAGGGCCUGUCAGCGGGAGGAGGCGACGCUGCACUACUGUCCAUCAACCUCUGCGUCAUCUGGGCCAAACAAACACACUUCGGAAGAAAUUCAGCUCUUAUGUUCAUAUUCCAGAAACUAUUUUGUGAUAAAUACAUAUUGAUACAAAUA